rnacentral:rRNA from 1 species
AUUGAACGCUGGCGGCAGGCCUAACACAUGCAAGUCGAGCGAGCGGCGGACGGGUGAGUAAUGUCUGGGAAACUGCCCGUUGGAGGGGGAUAACUACUGGAAACGGUAGCUAAUACCGCAUACCAUCAGAUGUGCCCAGAUGGGAUUAGCUAGUAGGUGGGGUAACGGCUCACCUAGGCGACGAUCCCUAGCUGGUCUGAGAGGAUGACCAGCUCCACGGGAACUGAGACAAGGUCCAAAGGCCUACGGGAGGAAGCAGUGGGGAAUAUUGCACAAUGGGCGCAAGCCUGAUGCAGCCAUGCCGCGUGUGUGAAGAAGGCCUUCGGGUUGUAAAGCACUUUCAGCGGGGAGGCGUUACCCGCAGAAGAAGCACCGGCUAACUCCGUGCCAGCCGCCGCGGUAAUAC